CUGCUGCCUCCCGUAGGAGUUUGGGCCGUGUCUCAGUCCCAAUGUGGCCGUCCACCCUCUCAGGCCGGCUACUGAUCGUCGCUUUGGUAGGCCGUUACCCUGCCAACUGGCUAAUCAGACGCGGGUCCAUCGUAUACCACCGGAGUUUUUCACACUGCGCCAUGCGGCGCUGUGCGCUUAUGCGGUUUUAGCACCUAUUUCUAAGUGUUAUCCCCCUGUAUACGGCAGGUUACCCACGCGUUACUCACCCGUCCGCCA
rnacentral:rRNA from 1 species